AGAGUUUGAUCCUGGCUCAGAUUGAACGCUGGCGGCAUGCCUUACACAUGCAAGUCGAACGGCAGCGCGGGAGCAAUCCUGGCGGCGAGUGGCGAACGGGUGAGUAAUACAUCGGAACGUGCCCAAUCGUGGGGGAUAACGCAGCGAAAGCUGUGCUAAUACCGCAUACGAUCUACGGAUGAAAGCAGGGGAUCGCAAGACCUUGCGCGAAUGGAGCGGCCGAUGGCAGAUUAGGUAGUUGGUGAGGUAAAGGCUCACCAAGCCUUCGAUCUGUAGCUGGUCUGAGAGGACGACCAGCCACACUGGGACUGAGACACGGCCCAGACUCCUACGGGAGGCAGCAGUGGGGAAUUUUGGACAAUGGGCGAAAGCCUGAUCCAGCCAUGCCGCGUGCAGGAUGAAGGCCUUCGGGUUGUAAACUGCUUUUGUACGGAACGAAACGGCCUUUUCUAAUAAAGAGGGCUAAUGACGGUACCGUAAGAAUAAACACCGGCUAACUACGUGCCAGCAGCCGCGGUAAUACGUAGGGUGCAAGCGUUAAUCGGAAUUACUGGGCGUAAAGCGUGCGCAGGCGGUUAUGUAAGACAGUUGUGAAAUCCCCGGGCUCAACCUGAGAACUGCAUCUGUGACUGCAUAGCUAGAGACCGUGAAGGGG
rnacentral:rRNA from 1 species